rnacentral:lncRNA from 1 species
GCCCACCCAGAAUUUGAUACCAUUUUAAGCAGAACUAUGACUAGUAUUCCAUGGUGUUCAAGAAAUCAACAAAACCCCAGAGGGUAAAGAUGAAAGAAUUCCAAUUUGCCCCCAUUUCUUCACAUUUUAUACUAGGAUUCAGCUUCUCUAGUCUAAUUCUUUACUCAUUAUUAGUAGUAACGGCAGCUGCAUUUAAUGAGUAUUCAUAAAGGACUCCCCACCAGAAGAAACACUUAUUCUUCCUUGUCAAUCCUCAAGACCAUCCUCUGAGGUGGGUCUUAACAUUAUGCUUCUUUUAUAGAUGAAAAGGGAAAUUGAGGAAAUGUCCAAAGUCAUACAGUGGCAAAACUGGGGUUCAAACCAGGGUUUGACCAUGAAAGCUGUGCCCUUAACCCCUGGGCCACACUGCAGUGGUCAAGAGGACAACCCCAGCAAAUCGAAAGGGACCAACUGUACCUAGUAUGUGCAGAAACUGGGUCAAUACUUUGCCAUCAUUAGAGAAGAAAAAGGAGAAAAUGAGGAUUUGCUUUUAUCAACAUUCAAACAUGGAAAGGAGGUAAACAAUAAAAGUCAGCUAAAAUAAAUAAUAUAAGAAAUGCCUAUUUCAUGCUAAUUUCCCUUAGGGGCUGCAGCUCUUUUCUUUUUCAUUUAUUUAUUUUCUUGGAGACAGGGUCUUCCUCUGUUGCCCAGGCUGGAUUCCGGAGGCACAAUCACGGCUCACUGCAGCCUCAACCUCCUGGGCUCAGGCAAUUCUCCCACCUCAGCCUUCCCAGUGGCUGGGACUACAGAUGCAUGCUACCACACCCAGCUAAUUUUUUAAAAUUAUUUGUAAAGACGGGGUCUCACUAUGUUGCCCAGGCUGGUCUCAAGUGAUCCUCCCACUUAAGCCUCCCAAAGUGCUGGGAUUCUCACCCCUUAAUUUUCAAGGAAAGCUUUAGAUGGUCCCCAUUUCUUAUUUUAGGGGGUGCUCUCCAACCUGGAGGUGACAUUGGCAAGAGCUGGCCUCAUAUUUCUUCUCUCUCACUUCAGCAGGCUACGAAUUCCUUUUUUUUUUUUUGAGACGGAGUUUUGCUCUUGUUGCCCAGGCUGGAGUGCAGUGACGUGCUCUCAGCUCACUGCAACCUCCCACCUCCCGGGUUCAAGUGAUUCUCCUGCUUCAGCUUCCUGAGUAGCUGGGAUUACAGGUGCCUGCCACCACGUCCGGCUAAUUUUUUGUAUUUUUAGUAGAGACGGGGUUUCACCAUGUUGGCCACUCUAGUUUUUGAACUCCUGGCCUCAAGCAAUCCACCCGUCUCGGCCUCCCAAAGUGCUAGGAUUAUAGGCAUGAGCCACCGCGCCUGGCCCCCUCCUCUUAUAAAUAAGACCACAUACCAAUCUAUAGGUUUUGCCCCUAAUAAAGGAAAUCAGCCAUUGAUUUACACCAACAGAUGGCAAUGUUGCUCAGUCUGUAGAAUUAUGAACUGAGACUCCUUAGAUUAAGUUUCCUUUAUCGUACCAGCUAAAUGCUAACUGAAGCACUGGCAGCAACUCUGUUCCCCAGAUGAAAUCCCAAGUUUCUUCCCAGCACCUCCUGAGAUGUGCUUCUUUAUUCCAUUGUUCAGCACUCCCCGGAGCACACAUCUGGGACUCAAUCAAUGUUCAUGGGAUGACCACCAGGAUCCUUUUCACAGCAAGUGCCACAGUGUUUCCUAUCUGAAACACUAAAAUGAUCUAUACAAAGGUAAUCUUCCAAAGCCUCUACAGCAUGCAUGAAUUACUCCUAGAACCAGGAAAACCUACCAUUACUAAAAAACAAAACAAAACAAAACCCCACAAUGGCUGCAUCUAGCUCCCUGUGUAUAGCAGGUGCUUACUACAGUAUUGCCUCUCCUCCCAAUCUCCUCUGCUGUCUUCACUACUUUACCUCCAGCUAUUUUUCUACCACCUUCUUCUCCUCCACUGACUCACCUACCAGGGCAUAAAAUAGGCUUUGCACUUCCUAGAGAAAAUAAGGAUGGCAAUGCUUACACUUUGUCUGAAAGGGGAAAAGUACACCUACUGUGUGCCAGACGCUUUUGUAUGUCAUCUCAUUUCAUUCAGUCUGCAAAGCAACUGAGGAGGUGGUAAUUAUUCUUAUUUUACUGUUGAGGAAACCAAGGCUCGGAGUGAUCAAGCAACGUUUCCAACGUCGCCCCUGUUUUCCCAGUGGUGAUUUGAAAUGUGGACCCGAGUUUUCUGAUUCUACUUUACCAGAAUGUGCCAUUUAAAAGUUAGGAAAAUCCCAGCACUUUGGGAGCAGAGCUGAGAUUUGAAGCAUUCCUUUCUAGAAGGUUCAUUUCACUACUCAGUUUUCAGAAUUCUCUCUGGGGAAUUAAAAGCCAAGUACCACACACUGCACCAAGGUUCUUACCCUUGGAUCCAUAGGUGGUCGUCAUGGAAUCUUUCUGACACUGUUUGCAAAAUCACAGGCAUAACCAGUAAGUAAGGGGGCUUCAGGCUGCACCCCACCCGAGGUAGAGGACUGUGUGGGAGCACAAAGCUGGCCCUGCCCGAUGUGGUGGGUGGCCUUCCUUGUUAACCACCACCACCACCAAACAGGGCUCUAUUUCUGACUGCAUGCAAUUUUUAGGAUAGCGCCAUUUCAGCUGAGAUAGUGAUCUCAGGUCCAGUCCUCCACGUGCAUGACUGGUAGUGAUGCACACCCGCCAACAUCUCUGAGCUUCAAACACCCCUCUGUGGGUCCCUCCUCCUGAAUUCACAAGGCUGCUGCAGGGAUAAAUACACAGGCAUCUGCCGCAUCUCAACUCCC